rnacentral:rRNA from 1 species
UACGUAGGGUCCGAGCGUUGUCCGGAAUUAUUGGGCGUAAAGGGCUCGUAGGCGGUUUGUCGCGUCGGGAGUGAAAACACGGGGCUUAACCCCGUGCCUGCUUCCGAUACGGGCAGACUAGAGGUAUGCAGGGGAGAACGGAAUUCCUGGUGUAGCGGUGAAUUGCGCAGAUAUCAGGAGGAACACCGGUGGCGAAGGCGGUUCUCUGGGCAUUACCUGACGCUGAGGAGCGAAAGUGUGGGGAGCGAACAGG